ACAUGAGCCUCACCUGCACCCAUCACCCAGGGUCCCAAUGCCACCUCCUGCUCUAGCUGUCAUGCAUGCGUCUUCCAAGGAACUCCAAGCCAUGCCUUCUUGAGUCCUGGUGUCGUGAGAGACCCUAGAUCCUCACAGGGAUUGAUUUACAACAGAACUGGCCGAGGAAGGGAAGGAUACUGGAUGCUGCCUCUACUCUAUGUGGGAGAAUUCCACUGCCCUUCCAAAAGGCACUCCACUUUGCCGUGGGAACUCCCACCUGCCCAUCACCUUUGCAAAGCCAGUGUUUUCCCAGGUACACGAAGGAAGUCACAGAUGACACAACUGUGGCUGUAACAUGAACCUCAUAAAUCAUUUACAAGACUCUCUGCAACAUCAGUGAUUUUUUUUAAUUCCAGAAUAAUCCCAGCGCCUGUUUCCUCAACUGUAAUAAAACAUCCACCUUGAUUCCA